GUAUGGAUUUUUCGGCGUGGCGGUAAAUUGAAUGAUGAGUGGGAGGAUGUCGCUGCCAUUGUUUGGUUGAUAAGGGAGCCUGGCGCACUAUUACCUGGCUCUCUGAAACGAGAGCCCACCUGUCAAUCAAUACCACCCCGCCGAUGCGACAUCAUCAU
ensembl:ncRNA mir-4969 mir-4969 stem loop